CCUACGGGCGGCAGCAGUGGGGAAUAUUGGACAAUGGGGGCAACCCUGAUCCAGCCAUGCCGCGUGUGUGAAGAAGGCCCUCGGGUUGUAAAGCACUUUCAGUGAGGAAGAACGCCUGGUGGUUAAUACCCAUCAGGAAAGACAUCACUCACAGAAGAAGCACCGGCUAACUCCGUGCCAGCAACCGCGGUAAUACGGAGGGUGCGAGCGUUAAUCGGAAUUACUGGGCGUAAAGCGCGCGUAGGUGGCUUGAUAAGCCGGUUGUGAAAGCCCCGGGCUCAACCUGGGAACGGCAUCCGGAACUGUCAAGCUAGAGUGCAGGAGAGGAAGGUAGAAUUCCCGGUGUAGCGGUGAAAUGCGUAGAGUUCGGGAGGAAUACCAGUGGCGAAGGCGGCCUUCUGGACUGACACUGACACUGAGGUGCGAAAGCGUGGGUAGCAAACAGGAUUAGAUACCCUGGUAGUC
rnacentral:rRNA from 1 species